CACAAAUCAUCUAUGGAUAGCCCUGUCAAGCCUCACCCGACCCCGGGUGAGGAGUACGAAAACUCUAGGAGCCCUUAUCCUACAACCCUGAUACUAGACCUCCAGACUCUCCUAUCAAAGGCCAUAUCCUCGGAAACCCGCACUCUAGCCAUGUCAUGCCUAAUCCCCUAUCCCCAAUACCUCUUAUGCCUCCCUCUGCCUCGUCGUACGCCGACCAUCGCCAGCCGCUCACAACUCCUCACCGGGGCAU
rnacentral:lncRNA from 1 species